rnacentral:rRNA from 1 species
GUAGGGAAUAUUGGGCAAUGGAGGAAACUCUGACCCAGCCAUGCCGCGUGAAGGAUGAAGGUCCUACGGAUUGUAAACUUCUUUUAUUAGGGAAGAAACGUCUCGAUUCAUCGGGACCUGACGGUACCUAAGGAAUAAGCACCGGCUAACUCCGUGCCAGCAGCCGCGGUAAUACGGAGGGUGCAAGCGUUAUCCGGAUUCACUGGGUUUAAAGGGUGCGUAGGUGGAUUAAUAAGUCAGUGGUGAAAGCCCCGAGCUCAACUUGGGAAUUGCCAUUGAAACUGUUAGUCUUGAGUGCGGUUGAGGUAGGCGGAAUAAGUCAUGUAGCGGUGAAAUGCUUAGAUAUGACUUAGAACACCGAUUGCGAAGGCAGCUUACCAAGCCGAUACUGACACUGAUGCACGAAAGCGUGGGGAUCAAACAGGAUUAGAAACCCCGGUAGUCC